rnacentral:lncRNA from 1 species
GGAAAAGCUCUCACUCUUACGUAACUCCUCACAUGCAGCAGUGACAGACACAAUCUCUGGCUUGAUAUUCUCCACUUGCUCGCUGAAUUGUAGCUUGAAGAGAAUGGCAUUGAGGCGAGGCCGCAGUCGGGGCACAGUGCCCAUCUAGUAGGGCAUGCGGAAGGAACCCAAAAAGAUUGCUGCCAGAAAAUGAGAUAUUAAGACAUGUUCUUCUCG